rnacentral:lncRNA from 1 species
GUCUCCCCUGGUGCCUGGCUUUUUGAAUACUUCAGACGGCCUCUGAAGUGUCCCGAAAAGAGAGGCCAUCAGACUCCAAGCGGUCAUUCAACUGGAGCCUCUGACAAUGGCCCCUUCUGCCAGGAACCCUUAGAUAGGUCUCUGAGGGAGCGCUGACUGCCGAUUCCCCCAAACAGCAUUCCCCUGUCAGUCGGAAGUAUUUAAGAUCGGUCUUCAUCCUUAUCGUUAAUCUAAUAGCAGUUAGAUGUACUUCUUUAGAGGGGGGAAUGACAUCAAGGUGGGAGGGGGUCCCUGGAGAAACUCCAACCAGCCUGCCCACUAGGGUGGAGCAUUGGGAAGUUCACGAUGUUUGCAGCAGGGAGGAGCCUGGCCCCUGCUCUUCCAUUGUGGAAACUGAGAUUUGAAUGGCCAGGUGGGAAAUGCUCUGGCAGGGACUCUGGCCUUGUAAGAGUCCCUGUUUGCCCCUUUUCUUCCUUUUCACCCAAUAAAACCCUGCUUUACUCAUC